CAGUUAUCGUUUAUUUGAUAGUACCUUACUACUUGGAUACCUGUGGUAAUUCUAGAGCUAAUACAUGCUACAAACCCCAACUAAAGAAGGGGCGUAUUUAUUAGAUAAAAAACCAAUGCCCUUCGGGGCUCACUGGUGAUUCAUAAUAACUUAACGAAUCGCAUGGCCUUGCGCCGGCGAUGGUUCAUUCAAAUUUCUGCCCUAUCAACUUUCGAUGGUAGGAUAGUGGCCUACCAUGGUUUCUACGGGUAACGGGGAAUUAGGGUUCUAUUCCGGAGAGGGAGCCUGAGAAACGGCUACCACAUCCAAGGAAGGCAGCAGGCGCGCAAAUUACCCAAUCCCGACACGGGGAGGUAGUGACAAUAAAUACUGAUGGAGAGCUCUUUUGGGUUUUCUAGUUGGAAUGAGUACAAUUUAAAUUUCUUAACGAGGAACAAUUGGAGGGCAAGUCUGGUGCCAGCAGCCGCGGUAAUUCCAGCUCCAAUAGCGUAUAUUAAAGUUGUUGCAGUUAAAAAGCUCGUAGUUGAAACUCAGGCCUGGCUGGCCGGUCCGCCUCACCGCGAGCACUGGUUCGGCCGGGCUUUUUCCUUCUGGGGAGCCGCAUGCCCUUUACUGGGUGCGUUGGGGAACCAGGACUUUUACUUUGAAAAAAUUAGAGUGUUCAAAGCAGGCAUAUGCUCGGAUACAUUAGCAUGGAAUAAUAGAAUAGGACGUGUGGUUCUAUUUUGUUGGUUUCUAGGACCGCCGUAAUGAUUAAUAGGGAUAGUCGGGGGCAUCAGUAUUCAAUUGUCAGAGGUGAAAUUCUUGGAUUUAUUGAAGACUAACUACUGCGAAAGCAUUUGCCAAGGAUGUUUUCAUUAAUCAGUGAACGAAAGUUAGGGGAUCGAAGACGAUCAGAUACCGUCGUAGUCUUAACCAUAAACUAUGCCGACUAGGGAUCGGACGGUGUUACUAUAUUGACCCGUCCGGCACCUUACGAGAAAUCAAAGUUUUUGGGUUCUGGGGGGAGUAUGGUCGCAAGGCUGAAACUUAAAGACAUUGACGGAAGGGCACCACCAGGCGUGGAGCCUGCGGCUUAAUUUGACUCAACACGGGGAAACUCACCAGGUCCAGACACAUUAAGGAUUGACAGAUUGAGCGUUCUUUCAUGAUCAUGUGGGUGGUGGUGCAUGGCCGUU
rnacentral:rRNA from 1 species